rnacentral:lncRNA from 1 species
UCUGAUCACCACCAUGCCCCAAUUUAAUCUAAAAUUUAAGUCACUCUGAUCACUUCGUGCCCCAUUUUGUUCCAAAAUUUGAGCCGCCCUUUUUGGGUUUUCAACUCAAAUCCCCUUUGGUCUCAAGGCGCCCUUUGCGGGUUUUCACAUUGGCCUCUCCUUUUUUUUCCUUUUCUUUUCUCUUCUUCUCCUUCUUCUCUUUCUUUUUUUUCUUUUUCUUUUUGUUUUUUUGUAUUUUUUAUUGAAUCUAAACCCAUAGGAUUAGGCACGUCCUUGUUAUCCCUUCCGAUCAAGAUUAACACAUUUCCA